GCGCCCGUAGCUCAGUUGGCAGAGCGGUGGAACGGUGAUCCGCAGUCCCGUGUUCAAGUCCCGGCGAACGCU